UUACUGGAUUCAUCAUUACAUAUAUAAAAAUUAGAAUAACAGAGAAGAUGAGCAUGGGCCCUGUGCAAGGAGGAUGUGAAAAUUUAUAUAUAUUU
ensembl:snRNA U6 U6 spliceosomal RNA